GACGAACGCUGGCGGCGUGCCUAAUACAUGCAAGUUGAGCGAUGAAGAUUGGUGCUUGCCCCAAUUUGAAGAGCAGCGAACGGGUGAGUAACGCGUGGGGAAUCUGCCUUUGAGCGGGGGACAACAUUUGGAAACGAAUGCUAAUACCGCAUAACAACUUUAAACAUAAGUUUUAAGUUUGAAAGAUGCAAUUGCAUCACUCAAAGAUGAUCCCGCGUUGUAUUAGCUAGUUGGUGAGGUAAAGGCUCACCAAGGCGAUGAUACAUAGCCGACCUGAGAGGGUGAUCGGCCACAUUGGGACUGAGACACGGCCCAAACUCCUACGGGAGGCAGCAGUAGGGAAUGUUCGGCAAUGGACGAAAGUCUGACCGAGCAACGCCGCGUGAGUGAAGAAGGUUUUCGGAUCGUAAAACUCUGUUGGUAGAGAAGAACGUUGGUGAGAGUGGAAAGCUCAUCAAGUGACGGUAACUACCCAGAAAGGGACGGCUAACUACGUG
rnacentral:rRNA from 1 species